GCAACAUAACCACUGAUAAUGGGGGGAGAAAAACAAACCUGCAUUGUUUGGAAAGCACAGUACUCACCACACUGCCAUCAACUGUCCAACGAGACAUGAAAGAAACCGUCUGACUAACAGUCAGUCAACCACCAUAGUUUGUUUUGUUUUAAAGUGACAUUUAGGUGUAAGUAAGAAAUAGAUGCUACUACAUUGACAUAGAAAAACCCAGAUUAUAGAUUUUGUGCUCCAUUGUCCAUAUUGAAGAAUUAUACUAGUUAUCAAAAUGUUUAGUUUGUGUGAUUUCUGAAUCAUCAUUGUCGAAUUGUCUCUUUGAAUGCAGCACCCCAUGUUGACAAACACUGAACUUACAGAUUUACACUAAUAUUAGACAGCCUCAUAAGUUUCAGUACUGCUGUGAACUGGAGGAACUGAACUGAUGCCGAGCUCAGAGAAGACUGCCAUCUGGUAAAAUAAUGCAACAAUGUGGUUACACAUGUGGUUGCAGCAGCAACACAGCAACAGCUUCACUGGGAGAAUGUGACAGGAUUGAAGUCCCUUAACACAAUCUGUAAAGAUUAACUGAUGACAAAAUAAUAAAUGAAUAACCCCAAAUGAUAGGAUAUAUGCAUAAACAAGACAAAUCUAAAAAAAAAAAAAAAAAAAAAAUCGCAUAUUAUUAUUAUUAUACUACAUUAAAUUUGUAAUUGAUUACAGUGUGCACCUUAAGCCAUUAGCAGCCACUGACAGGACUUUGCUGGACUCCCUAAGAAUACCAAGUGGGCAUAUUAGGAUGAGCCAGUGUUAGCCAACACUUUUCCUAGAGGCAUACCAACAGUACAUUUCUUGGACAGCUCACUUAUCUAACACACCCAUUUUAGGUUUUGGUCUAGUAACAAGCUUAUAAGUUAAAUUUAAAACAUGUACAGUUUAUGUGUCUCAAGGAACAUGAUUGAAAAACACUGGAGUAACCAUUAAUCAUUUAUCUCAUUCUUAAAAACCUUGUAAAAAUUCACUUAAAUUUACCGUUGUUCUGGGUUUGUGGCAGCUCUGCUCAGUUUCAGUACUGCUGUGAACUGGAGGAACUGAACUGAUGCCGAGCUCAGAGAAGACUGCCAUCUGGUAAAGUUGUGCAACAAUGUGGUUAAACAUGUGGUUGCAGCAGCAACACAGCAACAGCUACACUGGGACAAUGUGACAGGGUUGAAGUCGCUUAACGCAAUCUGUAAAGAUUAACUGAUGACAAAAUAAUAAAUGAAUAACCCCAAAUGAUAGGAUAUAUGCAUAAACAAGACAAGAAAUCUAAAAGUGCUAAACUUUUCCACUGAAUAGAUUCGUCAUGCCUACAUUUCUAUAAAUGUAGAAAUUCAUAGAAACUUCAUUUUAAAAUAUGAACAAUAAAUCCAUCCUUCAGUUCUAGUUUUGUCUGCCUACUCUCUAGCUAUGUGGCUUCUCUGACUUCCUCAUAGAUCUGAAACAAUUCACCCCCAAGAUGAUCUCUCCUGUCAUCCUUAUCAGAAACUGAAAAAAAAAAAAAAAAAAAAAUGCACAAAAUUAGUGACAUUCACAGUCCUAAAGAAUCAUACAUAUUGUAUUAGCAUAAUAACAUUAGUGAACCAGAAGAUCGAAAAAAAGGUUUAAUAGAUAGAAAACUGAAAGUAUAAGAAAA